rnacentral:lncRNA from 1 species
UAAACUCUAUUUUAACACCAUAUAAACUAAGAGAAAUAAAAUAUCCUCCUACUUAUUCUUCAUAUCCAUCUUCUUACAUGCUUAGGAUUGUAUUCAAUAAAAUUAAUAAACUUUUAUUAGGUUUUAGAAAAUACAAAAAGCAAGGACAUGUCGCGAGUGUACACUUUGUUUUGAAUUAUACUUGCGGCUUUCUUUUGGGGAUUCCAUCGAGAGACCCAAGGUUCAUGUACUGAAACUCGCUUCUUCAAAUUUCCCUCUUCUCUGUUGUCGUCGUCUUUUUCAUUUUCUUUGCUUCUUUUCUUAUAGGUAACGCCUUCCUCGAUUUUCCAUCCUUUGUAAUUUCCAUUUGUAUGUGUUUUGAUUUUCUUUUUUUUGCUUCUUCUCUACAUUUGUUAGAUAUUGUUUUUAUUGUUAUCUGUUGUACAUUUGUCUAUUUGUUUGUUUUUGCUAAGGUCUGGUAGUUGGAUAUAUUGCGUUUUGGAGUGUUGCUUGUUAAGUGUAAAGAUGUGUAAGGUGUUGCUGUAGCCAACAACUGCAGAGAAUGUUACGAGGAGGAAACCUUCCAACACUGAAUCCUCAAUUUUUUGUUCGAAUAGCUGAUUUCAUCUCCUACGCUUUUUGGUUGUUGGAGUUAAUUUGUUGUGUUUUUGUGAUGUAUAUGUCGUCAGAGAUGAUGAAGUGCACAAACGCAUACGGCGAUGUUGCUUGUGGUUGUGGAGUUGCCUCUUCCUUCUUCGAUUGAAGCUUCAAAUACAACAAAUUUGGUGUUGUUUCCUUAUGAAGAAAUCCGUUACGCCAAUCCUAAUUUUUGAUAACAAGAAAUUAGGGUUAAUAUCCUAUUGGACAAAUGGGUUCAUUCAUAUAUAUUGAUGUUUCCAUUUGAUUCAGGGUUCUUCUUGUUUUGGUUCACAAUAAACUGAUACUUUUGAACGAAAUUGAUAUCGAUUUUAUUGAUGCAUUUUUCUCGUACAUACAUGUCAAAGCAAAACUAGCAACAAACUGUCAAUUCCAUUAUUAUAGUUCAUAUAUGUCAAAGAAAAACUAGCAUCAUAUAUGUUUAAUUUGGUUCUUGAAUAGUUACGGUUUAAGUAAAUGAUUAAAGUUGUUUAGAAGUAGUUAUAGUUGUCAAG